UUGCUUCAGCGGAAGGGACGGCUGCCCGGGAAUCACUCACUCAGCGUUGGCUUUUGUUUUAGAGGACGCGACGACACUGCAGGAAUUCACUCACUCGCUGUGCGAAUCCGACGCUGGUAGGUGAGCUUUAACCUGUUGUGCCGACACUACAGGGAUCUUCUUCCUUUUAUAUGCUAUCCUAUGCUUUUGCUCCGUGCGAAAGCACACACUCUCUGGCCUCCUCUUCUGCUCUCUAAGUCUCUAAGAACAUUGAGAAAGAAAAACUCACUAGGUACUUUAACUCGUGAUUUAGCGCGAUUUAGAGUUGGAUUUUGAAUAUGCUGAAGUUGAACAAAAGAUAGAUCAAGGCAUUAUUUCAUCACCUUUUGUGUCAUUUAAAGCUUCAGGAGUAGGAUUUGCCUAGCGAAGUGAAUUACGAAGUUGAUCAAGGUAAAAUAAUUCAUCUUAGUAGCAAACAAGGAGGAGAUGAAUGAUUGAAGAAUUUGUAUUUCAAUCUUCGCUGUCCUUUUUGAGGUUACGGCUGAAGUGCCAGUGGUUUUGCAGGGGCCCCAUGACGCCGGCCACCGUUGCCACCUAUUGUUGAACCCAAAUAAUGAUAAUGAUCCUCGAACUUUCAGACUUCAAACCGAUCACAUCAUCCGAAGACCAAUUACGUUCGGACGCAUCCCUUUUGACAUCCCUCAUUGACUGGUGGAGACCUGAAACCCACACCUUUCACUUUCGUUUUGGGGACCUUGCACCUACAUUGAAAGAUGUUUCUAGGAUCACUGCUCUACCAAUUAGAGGUGAGUCGUUAGUCUCUGAAUGAGUGUCUCCAUCUUGGGCAUUAAAUAUCUCAGCCCGUAUUGGGAUGACAAUGCUAGAAUCACAACGUUCUGGUGGCACUUGGGGCGUCCCACUCGCCUAGCUUUGUGCAAACUUUAAUUGUUUAUCUAACCAUGCUGAUUCUCAGACGAGGAAAAGACAUCUGUUUACGUAUUUGUUGUGGCUCCUCGGGACUAUGUUUCCAAAUUUACACUGGGACGUAGUUCUCCCUGGUCUCGUCUACUUUGUAGAGAAUAUGGUAGAUGAAUCUUUACUUCAGCAUCAAAAAUACAACUUCGAUUUUUCCAUGCUAUCUCAUACAUAUAGAGGCUUGUGUGAUGCCACACAGAAAACUUCGUUCGCAGAAAAAGCUCCGUUACUUUGUGUCACCUAUGAGUUUAUAUAGUUAUGGUCAUGGGAAUACCUCCCUGUUGGACGACCUCGUAUACUAAAUCCCAUACAUUGAUACGACUGUAGCGAGGGCAAUGUAACUAUGGCCAGCAGGUGGACAAAGGCACGGAAAAAAUGGUCUCCAAAUAUUGCGAAAUUUUGUUACCCUAUAUACCACCAGCAGUUUGAGAUGCUUGAUGGGUCACUAGUCACAUGGAACCCGUGGACUCAGGAGCAGUUAUAGAUGGUCUUCGAUAUACGACCCAUCACAACAGGAUGCGUGAGCAAUAGUGCAUUCUGGCUGACUAGCUACAACUUAUUGUUCCUGUGGUGUGUUGAGCCUUACAACCCAGAGCAUGUCAUGAGACAGUUCGGUCUCUAUUAGGAUAUUCCACCACCUUUUUCAAGAUGUAUCGACGAAGGAAACCCAUAAGUAAGAUGUGACCUCCCUAAAUAGUUAGUGUCUUCUUUAAUAUACUAAAUUGACACUUUGGUACAUAAUUUGCAGGCUGAGCAAUAUGGGCAAGGGUCGUUACGAUUGGAGGGCACACAACAUUGAAUGGGAACACAAGUGGGAAAUGAAGUGCUAGAAGAUAUAGUGCAUCAACUUAGGUAAAUUUUAUUUACAUUAUUUUAUAAUGAUGACCAUACGAUGCGUGUAGAUGCUUUGCUUUCAUCUCAAAGGUUAAUAUAAUUAUUUAAUUGCGUAGACCAUAGCUGCACGCGGUCUGCAGAAUUAAAUAAUUAUAUCAACCUUUGAGAUGAAAGUGAAGCAUCUUCACGCACCGUAUGGUCAUCAUUAUAAAAUACAGUAAAUAGAAUUUACCUAAGUUCAUGCACUAUAUCUUCUAGCACAUCAUUUUCCCACUUGUGUACCCAUUCAAUGUUGUGUGCCCUCCAAUCAUAACCACCCUUGCCCAUAUUGCUCAGCCUGCAAAUUAUGUAACGAAGUCUCAGUUUAGUAAAUUAAAAAAGACACUAACUAUUUAGGGAGGUCACAUCUUACUUAUGGGUUUCCUCGUCGACACAUCUUGGAAAAGGUGGUGGAAUAUCCUGAUAGAGACCGAACUGUCUCAUGACACGCUCUGGGUUGUAAGGCUCAACACACCACAUGAACAAUAAGUUGCAGCGAGUCAGUCAGAAUGCACUAUUGCUCACACAUCCUGCUGUGAUGGGUCGCAUUUCGAAGACCAUCUGUAACUACUCGUGAUUCCACGGGUUCCAUGCGACUAGUGACUCAUCAAGCAUCUCAAAAUGUUGGUGGUUAUAUAGGGUAACAACAUUUUGCAAUAUUUGGAGACCAUUUUUUCCGUGCCUAUGUCAACCUGCUGGCCAUUGUUACAUUGCCCUCGCUACAGUUGUAUGGCUGUAUGGGAUUUAGUAUACGAGGUCGUCCAACAGGGAGGUAUUCCCAGUACCACAACUGUAGAAACUCAUAGGCGACACAAAGUAACGGAGCUUUUUCUGUGAAUGAAAUUUUUUGUGUGGCAUCACACAAGCCUCUAUAUGUAUGAGAUAGCAUGGCAGAACCGAAGCUAUAUUUUGGAUGCUGAGGUAAAGAUUCAUCUACCAUAUUCUCUACAAAGUAGAUGAGACCAAGGAGAACUACGUCCCUGUGUGAAUUUGGAAACAUAGUCCCGAGGAGCCACAACAAAUAUGCAAACAGAUGUCUUUUCCUCUUCUCAGAAUCAGCUGGUUAGAUAAACAAUGAAUGUUUGCACGAAGCCACGUGAGUGGGACGCCCUGAGGGCCACCAGAACAUUGUGAUUCUGGCAUUGUCAUCCCAAGAUGGGCUGAGAUAUUUAAUGCCCAAGAUGGAGACACUCACAGAGAAACUAACGGCUCACCCCUAAUUGGUAGAGCAGUGAUCGUAGAAACAUCUUUCAGUUUAGGUGCAAGCUCCCCAAGACGAAAGUGAAAGGUGUGGGUUUCAAGUCUCCAUCGGUCAACGAGGGAUGUCAAAAGGGAUGGGUCCGAACGUAAUUAGUCUUCGGAUGAUGUGAGCCUAGCAUAACCAUGUAGUCCAUAAGCCUCAAGGUGAGGAAUGAAAGAAUCGUGUAUUGACCAUGUGUUCUUUACGGUUCGAAGUCUGAAAGUCCGAGGAUCAUUAUCAUUAUUUGUGUUCAA